AGGAUGAACGCUGGCGGCGUGCUUAACACAUGCAAGUCGAGCGGAAAGGCCCUUCGGGGUACUCGAGCGGCGAACGGGUGAGUAACACGUGAGUAAUCUGCCCCUAGCUCUGGGAUAGCUCCGGGAAACCGGGAUUAAUACCAGAUACGACCACUUUAGACAUCUUCUGUGGUGGAAAGAACUUCGGCUAGGGAUGAACUCGCGGCCUAUCAGCUUGUUGGUGAGGUAACGGCUCACCAAGGCGACGACGGGUAGCCGGCCUGAGAGGGCGACCGGCCACACUGGGACUGAGACACGGCCCAGACUCCUACGGGAGGCAGCAGUGGGGAAUAUUGCGCAAUGGGCGAAAGCCUGACGCAGCGACGCCGCGUGGGGGAUGAAGGCCUUCGGGUUGUAACCCCUUUCAGCAGGGACGAAGCGAAAGUGACGGUACCUGCAGAAGAAGCGCCGGCUAACUACGUGCCAGCAGCCGC
rnacentral:rRNA from 1 species